UACCUGCAGCUCAAGUGGUGACCGCUAUUAUUGGGCCUAAAACGUUCGUAGCCGGCUGAGUAAAUGCUUGGGUAAAUCGUGCCGCUUAACGGUACGAAUUCCGGGUAGACUACUCAGCUUGAGACCGGGAGAAGCUAGAGGUACUCCUGGGGUAGAGGUGAAAUUCUGUAAUCCUGGGGGGACCACCAGUGGCGAAGGCGUCUAGCUAGAACGGGUCUGACGGUGAGGGACGAAACCCUGGGGCGCAAACCGGAUUAGAUACCCGGGUAGUCCAGGGCGCAAACGCUGCUUGCUUGAUGUUAGCUGGGCUCCGAGCUCAGCUAGUGUCGGAGAGAAGUUGUUAAGCAAGCUGCCUGGGAAGUACGAUCGCAAGAUUGAAACUUAAAGGAAUUGGGCGGGGAGCACAGCAACGGGUGGAGCGUGCGGUUU
rnacentral:rRNA from 1 species